CUUUCAACCCUAUAUUUUUUUUUCCCACUCGGAUCAUAAGGAGGGGAAGCAAGGCUGGCAAGACCCUAUCUGGAUUGGAAUGAGCUUUACUCCAUGAUCCUCCAUAAGGGAAAGUAUUGAUAUGAAAAUAAGAUCAAAAGACAUAUUCUACUUCUGGAACCCUUGAGUAAACAGGAGACCUGCAUUGGGGUAUGAUGGACAAUCCACAGUAUUCAUCUAUCACAGUCACGUUUUCCAAGAGAUGGACAAUGUCCAAAAACUGCUUAGAUGGUUAAGCAGCUGACAUCAUUUCACACAUAAGGAGACAAACUCAAAGACGUUUAAACAGUUGCUGAAAACUACACACCAUGCAGAGGAAGAAAACAGGGAAGGGAGUCUCAACUGACAAAAAUUUCUUCCAAAUUGAGGAGUUUAUGUGAACAGGUAAGAUU